UACGUAGGGGGCAAGCGUUGUCCGGAUUUAUUGGGCGUAAAGAGCGUGUAGGCGGCCAGACAGGUCCGUUGUGAAAACUCGAGGCUCAACCUCGAGACGCCGAUGGAAACCGUCUGGCUAGAGUCCGGAAGAGGAGAGUGGAAUUCCUGGUGUAGCGGUGAAAUGCGCAGAUAUCAGGAAGAACACCCGUGGCUAAGGCGGCUCUCUAGUACGGUACUGACGCUGAGACGCGAAAGCGUGAGGAGCGAACAGG
rnacentral:rRNA from 1 species